UCUGCCCCUAGAGCAUUGCAGGUGUGACUGCUGUGUGACAUAUACAUUAAUAUGUGGUAGAGAGAAGAAAGGCUAUAUGUAUUUUCAGUGUACUGAUCUAUGAAAAUCUGAAUGAUUAGUAGCCUAGUAUU